rnacentral:rRNA from 1 species
UACGGAGGGUGCGAGCGUUGUCCGGAAUCAUUGGGCGUAAAGAGCGUGUAGGCGGCCACUUAAGUCCUGCGUGAAAUCUUGCGGCUCAACCGCAAGCGGUCGUGGGAAACUGGGUGGCUAGAGUGCGGGAGAGGAGAGUGGAAUUCCUGGUGUAGCGGUGGAAUGCGCAGAUAUCAGGAAGAACACCCGUGGCGAAGGCGGCUCUCUGGAACGCAACUGACGCUGAGACGCGAAAGCGUGGGAGCAAACAGG